rnacentral:rRNA from 1 species
GACUAAGCGUACACGGUGGAUGCCCUGGCAGUCAGAGGCGAUGAAGGGCGUGCUAAUCUGCGAUAAGCGCCGGUAAGGUGAUAUGAACCGUUAUAACCGGCGAUACCCGAAUGGGGAAACCCAGUGUGAUUCGUCACACUAUCAUUAACUGAAUCCAUAGGUUAAUGAGGCGAACCGGGGGAACUGAAACAUCUAAGUACCCCGAGGAAAAGAAAUCAACCGAGAUUCCCCCAGUAGCGGCGAGCGAACGGGGAGGAGCCCAGAGCCUGAAUCAGCAUGUGUGUUAGUGGAAGCGUCUGGAAAGGCGCGCGAUACAGGGUGACAGCC